rnacentral:rRNA from 1 species
CCUACGGGUGGCUGCAGUGAGGAAUAUUGGUCAAUGGGCGGACGCCUGAACCAGCCAAGUAGCGUGCAGGAUGACGGCCCUACGGGUUGUAAACUGCUUUUAUACGGGAAUAACGCGCCUUACGUGUAGGGCUUUGCAUGUACCGUAUGAAUAAGGACCGGCCAAUUCCGUGCCAGCAGCCGCGGUAAUACGGAAGGUCCGGGCGUUAUCCGGAUUUUUUGGGGUUAAAGGGCGCGUAGGCCGCAUGCCCAGCGUGCUGUGAAAUGUCCGGGCUCAACCCGGGCCUUGCAGCGCGAACUGGGGUGCUUGAGUCCGCGGAAAGCAGGCGGAAUGCGUCGUGUAGCGGUGAAAUGCUUAGAUAUGACGAAGAACCCCGAUUGCGAAGGCAGCUUGCUGCAGCGGAACUGACGCUGAUGCUCGAAAGCGCGGGUAUCGAACAGGAUUAGAUACCCGGGUAGUC